rnacentral:rRNA from 1 species
GAUGAACGCUAGCGGCAGGCUUAAUACAUGCAAGUCGAACGGUAAGUUUGGUAGCAAUAUCAAACCAAGAGUGACGUACGGGUGCGUAACACGUAUGCAACCUACCUUGUACAGGAGUAUAGCUCGGGGAAACUCGAAUUAACCCUCCAUGAGAUCACAGUGUGGCAUCACACAGUGAUUAAAACUCAGGUGGUACAAGAUGGGCAUGCGUCUGAUUAGAGUUGGCGGGGUAAUGGCCACCAAGACGAUGAUCAGUAGGGGACCUGAGA